rnacentral:rRNA from 1 species
UUGCCCUAGUAACGGCGAGUGAAGCGGCAACAGCUCAAAUUUGAAAUCUGGCUCUUUCAGAGUCCGAGUUGUAAUUUGCAGAGGGCGCUUUGGCGUUGGUAGCGGUCCAAGUUCUUUGGAACAGGACGUCACAGAGGGUGAGAAUCCCGUACGUGGUCGCUAACCUUCGCCGUGUAAAGCCCCUUCGACGAGUCGAGUUGUUUGGGAAUGCAGCUCUAAAUGGGAGGUAAAUUUCUUCUAAAGCUAAAUACUGGCCAGAGACCGAUAGCGCACAAGUAGAGUGAUCGAAAGAUGAAAAGCACUUUGGAAAGAGAGUCAAAUAGCACGUGAAAUUGUUGAAAGGGAAGCGCUUGCAGCCAGACUUGCCUGUAGUUGCUUAUCCGGACUUUUGUCCGGUGCACUCUUCUGCAGGCAGGCCAGCAUCAGUUUGGGCGGUUGGAUAAAGGUCUCUAUCACGUACCUCCCUUCGGGGUUGGCCUUAUAGGGGAGACGUCAUGCAACCAGCCUGGACUGAGGUCCGCGCAUCUGCUAGGAUGCUGGCGUAAUGGCUGUAAGCGGCCCGUCUUGAAACACGGACCAAGGAGUCUAACAUCUAUGCGAGUGUUUGGGUGUCAAGCCCAGACGCGUAAUGAAAGUGAACGGAGGUGGGAACCUUUUAGGUGCACCAUCGACCGAUCCUGAUGUCUUCGGAUGGAUUUGAGUAAGAGCAUGGCUGUUGGGACCCGAAAGAUGGUGAACUAUGCUUGAAUAGGGUGAAGCCAGAGGAAACUCUGGUGGAGGCUCGCAGCGG